CAUAAUGAGUAUAUAAACAAUACACAGCUUAUAAUGCUGUGGUAGGACUGGGUUAAAAUAGGAAUGUGCACACUGCACAGCAAUAUUGAUCUUAAGUACAACAAGUAAGAGAUCUGCAAACAAAGAAAGCUCUUUACGAAAUUCCACAAAGUCUUUAAAGUGUUCUGUCACUGGAACUGAAAGACUCUUGUAUUUUGUUAAACAAUGAGUGAUUGGUUGUCUUGUGCGAAUACUGAUAUAUUGGUCAUAGUAUAUGUUUAGUACAAGUUCGGUGCAAUAAAUGGGAUAGUUUAUAGUUAUUUCAAACAUACAAAAUGAAGCCCUGCGCUCAAACUGUCACUAAUCCUGGGUGGCAUCAAUGACUAUAGUACAUACCAGCCCCAAUACAUACAAUAAAAAACAAAAAAAUAAAUAAAAGUUUCUUGCGCACUAUCCAAACUCUCUAUGCACAUUUAAAGUGGCACUGUCAACUCUCCUUCCCAUCCUUCCCUCCCCUAAAAAAUUUGUAUUUCUUAAUGAUAGUGAAAUUCCAACCUAUACAAAAGAUAUACAGAAAAAGUGGGGACUACGUUGUCUCUGCAUUUUUUUCUCCACAUGACUCCGUGCGGAAUCGAAGUGUAAAUCCAAACAGCCAUCACCAGUGCAGGGAAUUGGCUCUGUCUAGAGCGAAUCCCAAUACUCAGUCCCACUGCUCAAUUCUCUGCCAUUCAGGAGUGAAAGCACUUUGUUUAUGCAGCCACAGCCAUACCUCCCUGCAUGUGACUUACACAGUCUUUCUAAACACUUCCUGUAAUGAGAUCUAAUGUUUAAACUUCCUUUAUUGCAAAGUCUGUUUAGUUUAGAAUGUCUUAUCUCCUCUACUGUUAAUAGCUUGCUAGUCCUUGCAGGAGCCUCCUGUGUGAUUAAAGUUCAAUUUACAGAGCAGGGGAUAAAAACUUCUAAAGCAAUUUAACAUUGAGCAGUGAAACGGCAGGGGCAUGAUCUACACACAAAAAACGUGCUUCAUUAAAGGACCACUAUAGUCACCCAGGCCACUUCAGCUCAAUGAAGGGUGCUGGCUGCCAGGUCUUAACCCCUUAACGACGAGUGACGAGGGGAUUGCCAUAAUGACGAGUGACGGACCUUGUCC